rnacentral:rRNA from 2 species
UGGUCAAGUUAUUAAGGGUGCAGGGCGGAUGCCUUGGCACUAGGAGCCGAUGAAGGACGUGAUAAGCUGCGAUAAGCUUCGGGGAGUUGCACGUAAACUUUGAUCCGAAGAUUUCCGAAUGAGGAAACUCACUUAGAGUAAUGUCUAAGUAUCAUUAAGUGAAUACAUAGCUUAAUGAGGGGAACUCAGGGAACUGAAACAUCUAAGUACCUGAAGGAAGAGAAAGAAAUUCGAUUCCGUAAGUAGCGGCGAGCGAACGCGGAUUAGCCCAAACCAAUAAAGUUUUCUUUAUUGGGGUUGCGGACAUAUCAUAACGAAGAGGUAUCGUAAUUGAAGAGGUUUGGAAAGACCCACCACAGAAGGUAAUAGUCCUGUAUGUUAAACGAGAAGACUUUAGAUAUGAUCCAGAGUACCACGGGACACGUGAAACCCUGUGGGAAGCAGGAGGGACCACCCUCCAAGGCUAAAUACUACCUAGUGACCGAUAGCGUAUAGUACCGUGAGGGAAAGGUGAAAAGAACCCCGGGAGGGGAGUGAAAUAGAACCUGAAACCCUGCACUUACAAGCUGUGGAAGCACAUUUCUUGUGUGACCGCGUACUUUUUGUAGAACGGGCCAACGAGUUACGUUAAGUAGCAAGGUUAAGCACUUAAGGUGCGGAGCCGUAGCGAAAGCGAGUUUUAACUGAGCGUUCAGUUACUUGACGUAGACCCGAAACCGGGCGACCUACCCAUGAGCAGGAUGAAGCGAAAGUAAAAUUUCGUGGAGGUCCGAACCCACGAGCGUUGAAAAGCUCGGGGAUGACUUGUGGGUAGCGGUGAAAUUCCAAUCGAGCCCGGAGAUAGCUGGUUCUCCCCGAAAUAGCUUUAGGGCUAGCCUCAAGGUGAGAGAUACGGAGGUAGAGCACUGAAUGUCCUAGGGGGUAUUGCACCUACCGAAGACUAUCAAACUCCGAAUGCCGUCAUCUUAUACUUGGGAGUCAGACUGUGGGUGAUAAGAUUCAUAGUCGAAAGGGCAACAGCCCAGAUCGUCAGCUAAGGUCCCUAAAUGUAAGUUAAGUGGUAAAGGAUGUGGGAUUGCACAGACAACCAGGAUGUUGGCUUAGAAGCAGCCACUCAUUCAAAGAGUGCGUAAUAGCUCACUGGUCGAGUGAUCCUGCGCCGAAGAUUUCCGGGGCUAAAACUUACUACCGAAGCUACGGCAUCAGUAAUGAUGGGUAGGGGAGCUUCCCAUACGGGUUGAAGCAUGACCGUAAGGACAUGUGGACAGUAUGGGAGUGAGAAUGUUGGCAUGAGUAGCGAGAUGUGGGUGAGAAUCCCACAGGCCGUAAACCCAAGGUUUCCAGGGGAAGGUUCGUCCGCCCUGGGUUAGUCGGGACCUAAGCUGAGGCCGAAAGGCGUAGGUGAUGGACAACAGGUUGAUAUUCCUGUACUACCGAUAACCGUUUGAGAGAAGGGAUGACACAGUAGGAUAAGCUAAGCACACUGUUGGUUAUGUGUGCCCAAGCAUUGAGGCAGUCAAAGUAGGCAAAUCCGCUUUGAUAAUGCUGGGAUGUGAUGGGGAGCGAAAUUUAGUAGCGAAGUAGCUGAUUUCACACUGUCAAGAAAAGUCUCUAUCGAGGUUAAAGGUACCCGUACCGCAAACCGACACAGGUGGGUGAGGAGAGUAUCCUAAGGCCAGCGAGAGAACUGUUGUUAAGGAACUCGGCAAAAUGACCCCGUAACUUAGGGAUAAGGGGUGCCACCAUCAGGUGGCCGCAGAGAAUAGGCCCAAGCGACUGUUUACCAAAAACAUAGGUUUCUGCUAAGUCGCAAGACGAUGUAUAGGAGCUGACGCCUGCCCGGUGCUGGAAGGUUAAGGGGAUCUGUUAGAGCAAUCGAAGCAGUGAACUUAAGCCCCAGUAAACGGCGGCCGUAACUAUAACGGUCCUAAGGUAGCGAAAUUCCUUGUCGGGUAAGUUCCGACCCGCACGAAAGGCGUAACGAUUUGGGCACUGUCUCAACAACAGACUCGGUGAAAUUGUAAUUCCGGUGAAGAUGCCGGAUACCUGCGACAGGACGGAAAGACCCCAUGGAGCUUUACUGUAGCUUGACAUUGGGUCUUGGUACUACAUGUACAGGAUAGGUGGGAGGCUUUGAAACCAGGACGCCAGUUUUGGCGGAGCCAUCCUUGGGAUACCACCCUUGUAGUACUGGGACUCUAACCAUAGGCCAUGAAUCUGGUCUUGGGACACUGUCAGGUGGGCAGUUUGACUGGGGCGGUCGCCUCCCAAAAGGUAACGGAGGCGCUCAAAGGUUCUCUCAGUACGGUCGGAAAUCGUACGUAGAGUGUAAAGGCAAAAGAGAGCUUGAUUGCAAGACAUACAGGUCGAGCAAGGAUGAAAAUCGGACUUAGUGAUCCGGUGGUUCUGCGUGGAAGGGCCAUCGCUCAACGGAUAAAAGCUACCCUGGGGAUAACAGGCUUAUCUCCCCCAAGAGUCCACAUCGACGGGGAGGUUUGGCACCUCGAUGUCGGCUCAUCACAUCCUGGGGCUGUAGUAGGUCCCAAGGGUUGGGCUGUUCGCCCAUUAAAGUGGUACGCGAGCUGGGUUCAGAACGUCGUGAGACAGUUCGGUCCCUAUCCGUCGCAGGCGUAGGAAAUUUGAGAAGACCUGUCCUUAGUACGAGAGGACCGGGAUGGACGUACCUCUGGUGUACCAGUUGUUCUGCCAAGGGCAUGGCUGGGUAGCUAUGUACGGAAUGGAUAAGCGCUGAAAGCAUCUAAGCGCGAAGCCAACUUCAAGAUAAGAUUUCCCACCGCAAGGGUAAGACCCCAGAAAGACUAUCUGGUUGAUAGGUCGAAGGUGUAAGUGCAGCAAUGUAUUUAGCUUAUCGAUACUAAUAGGUCGAGGACUUGACCAA